rnacentral:rRNA from 1 species
UGGGGAAUAUUGCACAAUGGGCGCAAGCCUGAUGCAGCCAUGCCGCGUGUAUGAAGAAGGCCUUCGGGUUGUAAAGUACUUUCAGCGGGGAGGAAGGCGAUAAGGUUAAUAACCUUGUCGAUUGACGUUACCCGCAGAAGAAGCACCGGCUAACUCCGUGCCAGCAGCCGCGGUAAUACGGAGGGGGCAAGUGUUAAUCGGAAUUACUGGGCGUAAAGCGCACGCAGGCGGUCUGUCAAGUCGGAUGUGAAAUCCCCGGGCUCAACCUGGGAACUGCAUUCGAAACUGGCAGGCUAGAGUCUUGUAGAGGGGGGUAGAAUUCCAGGUGUAGCGGUGAAAUGCGUAGAGAUCUGGAGGAAUACCGGUGGCGAAGGCGGCCCCCUGGACAAAGACUGACGCUCAGGUGCGAAAGCGUGGGGAGCAAACA